rnacentral:rRNA from 1 species
AGCGGCGGACGGGUGAGUAAUGCCUAGGAAUCUGCCUGGUAGUGGGGGAUAACGUUCGGAAACGAACGCUAAUACCGCAUACGUCCUACGGGAGAAAGCAGGGGACCUUCGGGCCUUGCGCUAUCAGAUGAGCCUAGGUCGGAUUAGCUAGUUGGUGAGGUAAUGGCUCACCAAGGCGACGAUCCGUAACUGGUCUGAGAGGAUGAUCAGUCACACUGGAACUGAGACACGGUCCAGACUCCUACGGGAGGCAGCAGUGGGGAAUAUUGGACAAUGGGCGAAAGCCUGAUCCAGCCAUGCCGCGUGUGUGAAGAAGGUCUUCGGAUUGUAAAGCACUUUAAGUUGGGAGGAAGGGCAUUAACCUAAUACGUUAGUGUUUUGACGUUACCGACAGAAUAAGCACCGGCUAACUCUGUGCCAGCAGCCGCGGUAAUACAGAGGGUGCAAGCGUUAAUCGGAAUUACUGGGCGUAAAGCGCGCGUAGGUGGUUUGUUAAGUUGGAUGUGAAAUCCCCGGGCUCAACCUGGGAACUGC